rnacentral:rRNA from 1 species
GACCGCAAGGCCUUGCGUCGAUGGAGCGGCCGAUGCCGGAUUAGCUAGUUGGUGAGGUAAAGGCUCACCAAGGCGACGAUCCCGUAGCUGGUCUGAGAGGACGACCAGCCACACUGGGACUGAGACACGGCCCAGACUCCUACGGGAGGCAGCAGUGGGGAAUCUUGGACAAUGGGCGAAAGCCUGAUCCAGCAAUGCCGCGUGUGGGAAGAAGGCCCUCGGGUUGUAAACCACUUUUGGCGGGAAAGAAAUGGUCUGUGCUAAUACCACGGAUUGAUGACGGUACCCGCAGAAUAAGCACCGGCUAACUACGUG